CCUUUCAUUUCUUCAGAAUAUUCAUCUCUACAAUGAUUUGUGAAAUUGAUUAGAUUUAUGUUUAUAGACGAAUUGUUUUGUCACAUGAAAAGUUGAGUUGGGUGAUGCUUGGUUCUUGAGGACUUACAGUUGAACUUCUGCUACGGAAUCAAAUUGCUCGACUUAUCUGAAAAACCUAAGAUGAAAAACUUGGUCAUAAACUUUAAAGAACAUUAUUUUGGGGAUAGUUUUGAGCUUAAAAUUGUGGGUCCUUAUGUUGAGACAUUGAAAAUUUCCUGGAGUUGGGAUAAUAUCAAGUUUAAGUUGAUGAAUAUGUCAUCUUUAGUUAAAGCUACCCUGGAUUUUGAAGUUAUAGAUGAUGAGGAUGAUGAGGAUGAUGAAGAUGAUUACCAAGAGAGGUGUCCUAAUAAGGUUAAGGAGCUCGUUGAGAAUGUUCUUCCUGCUGAGCAACUACAGCUAACGAAUUUAUGUACUGAGGCUCUCUCAAUAUUGAGGAUGGAUGUUAUGGCGUCUCUAUCAUCGAAUUUGAAAUCUUUAAAUGUCGACUGUCGCGGUGAAGAGUACCUCUGUGGGAUUGAACGCGUUCUUCAGUGCUCACCUAAGAGAAGUUAGUUAUAUUUUUCGACUACGGUAGGUCCUAUAAGUCAAAAUCCGAUGGCUAUAGAAAGGGUUAUUGGACAAAUGCAGAGAUACCAAGUUGUUUGGAUUCCCAUCUCAAGACCAUCGAGAUAUCUGGUCUGAUAAGAAGUCGAGUGGUAAUUGAAUUUCUCCAGUUCUUGCUCAUGAAUUCAAAUAUGUUGGAGAAGAUGAUGUUCCGUCGUUGUGACUAUAAAUCUGGUUUGAAAUUGGCCGAGAAGUGGUCGAGCUUUCCAAGGUCUUCGCAGCAAGCAGUGUUUCUAGUAGAUACUACAUGACAUGGAAUAACAGAAUGCUGAGCUGAAAUGCAUGUGCUGAAAUUGUGGAAGUAACUGCUAAUGUGUGUACAUAGUGUGUGUUUGUAUUCUGUUUCUCAGCCUUCUAGUAUAAAAGGCUUGCUUGUAUCAUUUUUAAAGUUAAUGAGAAAAUUGAUAUUUCCCUUAAAAUUUCAAUACUA